CAGCCGCCACGGUAAAACGUAGGGUGCAAGCGUUAAUCGGAAUUACUGGGCGUAAAGCGUGCGCAGGCGGUUUGUUAAGACAGAUGUGAAAUCCCCGGGCUCAACCUGGGAACUGCAUUUGUGACUGGCAAGCUAGAGUAUGGCAGAGGGGGGUGGAAUUCCGCGUGUAGCAGUGAAAUGCGUAGAUAUGCGGAGGAACACCGAUGGCGAAGGCAGCCCCCUGGGCCAAUACUGACGCUGAUGCACGAAAGCUAGGGGAGCAAACAGGAUUAGAUACCCGUGUAGUCCCUGUCUCUUAUAC
rnacentral:rRNA from 1 species